rnacentral:misc_RNA from 1 species
AAGGAUCAUUACCGAAUUGUCAACACGAGUUGUUGCUGGUCCUCAAAACGGGGGCAUGUGCACGCUCUGUUUACACAUCCACUCACACCUGUGCACCCUCUGUAGUUCCGUGGCAUGGGGGACUCUGUCCUCCCGUUGUGGUCCUACGUCUUUACACACACUCUGUAACAAAGUCUCAUGGAAUGCAUGACGCGUUUAACGCAAUACAAUACAACUUUCAACAACGGAUCUCUUGGUUCUG